CGGGGGGAGCAAGCGUUGUUCGGAUUUACUGGGCGUAAAGGGCGCGUAGGCGGCCACCGCAAGUCGACUGUGAAAUCUCCGGGCUUAACCCGGAACGGUCAGCCGAUACUGCGGGGCUAGAGUGCAGAAGGGGCAACUGGAAUUCUCGGUGUAGCGGUGAAUUGCGUAGAUAUCGAGAGGAACACCUGCGGCGAAGGCGGGUUGCUGGGCUGACACUGACGCUGAGGCGCGAAAGCUAGGGGAGCGAACGGGAUUAGAUACCCCGGUAGUCCUAGCCUUAAACGAUGAAUGCUUGGUGUCUGGGGUUUUAUAGUCCCCGGGUGCCGUCGCUAACGCUUUAAGCAUUCCGCCUGGGGAGUACGGUCGCAAGACUG
rnacentral:rRNA from 1 species